rnacentral:lncRNA from 1 species
UCUCUCCUGAACCAAACCCUAACUCCAAAAACCCAUAUUUUUUCACUUUCUUUCACAGCCACAAUUCGCGAGGGGAGCUUGCAGUAAAAAUAGAGAGAAGUGGUCCGAGCUGAGAGGAGCUUUCCCAGGUACGAAUGUAAUGGAUUUAUGAGUUAAUUUGGGUUGGUAUUGAUGCUUGUUGAGAUCUUUGACAGAAAAUUCAGUAAUUUUUUAAAAAUAUCACACACGCACACAGAUCCACAAUUUGAGGGCAAAGGUUGUGGUUUUCAGCGUGGCUAAAAAAUCAUGGAUUUAGGGUUUGUAGAAUUUAAAUCCAACCCGCUGCACACGCACACAGAUCCACAAUUUGAGGGCAAAGGUUGUGGUUUUCAACGUGGCUCAAAAAUUGUGGAUUUAGGGUUUGUAGAAUUUAAAUCCAAUGGCACAAAAACAAAUAAAACCUUAGAACAGAUGCAGAAAACACAGGGAGCAACAAAAUAAAAGCAUAUUUUUUUUUGGUUUUCCUUGGGAGUUUUGAUGGAUUUCUCUCGGAAAUCAAACGAGGAUGAAUUUUCCCGGAAAUCGAAUGGGGGAUGGAUUUUCUUGGGAAGCAAAUUGGGGUUGAAAAUAAAUAUUAAUAAAAUGAUUAGAUUAGCACCUGCGAGGAUUGAGAGUGGCAGAGGAAAAUAAAGCAUGAUGCUUGCCUGGAGAAGAAUUCAACAAAGGGGCUUCUUGAUGCCUCACGCGUGGUGGUCGGACCCAUCAAAAUCUGAAGCAUCAACCACCAUUAGAACCACAGACUGAGUUCCAGAGUUGAAACCAAUCUCCUGUGCUCAAAUCAACUCCGGCAACAAAUUCUCCAUCGNNNNNNNNNNNNNNNNNNNNNNNNNNNNNNNNNNNNNNNNNNNNNNNNNNNNNNNNNNNNNNNNNNNNNNNNNNNNNNNNNNNNNNNNNNNNNNNNNNNNUUGUUUAUGUAGAUUUGUUUCAAAUAUGACAAUUCAUCGUGAGGGCGCUAUCUUCACGAGUCUUAUGAAGUGAAUUGUAGGAUUACGUACCUUUUAAUGAAACAGAGGUGUGAGGACUAUGAUUUUUAUAGAAUUGGAUUUUGAUAUGUCAUAUUUUCUUUUAUAGAUAUUUUUGUAAACAUAUCAAUGUGGGGGCCACCGAUCUUGUUGUUUGUUGAAUAAAGUAGUUUAAAACAAUAUGACUUUUAUUUAUCUAUAUAAAAAAAUAUUAUAUUUUAAUUUUAAAAAAAAUCAAAAUUUACAUGAACUGUUAUAUAUAUAUAUAUUAUAUAUAUAUAUAUAUAUAUAUAUAUAUAUAUAUAUAUAUAUAUAUAUAUAUAUAUAUAUAUAUAUAUACAUAUACAAAAACUAACCUCCUGGAGCUUAUCCGUUACAAGAACAUUUUUUCUCAAAACUGAUUGGUUGACAAAGAAAAUUCCAAUAUUAUCUUCAUUUAUUUAAAAAUAAUUUAAAAUGCAUGCACUUUUUAAUUUAUGAUUUAAUUAUUCCCAAAAAUAGCCCUUUACUUGUCAUGUCAUCCUAAUCCAUUGACAAUUAGAAUCCUUUGUAUAAAUAUUUCCAUUCUUUUUAGAUAUUUUAUUAUUAUUAUUACUUUAUUAUUUUAUUAUUUUAUUAUUUGAGAAUUUUUGUUCUCUAGAAACAUUAUAAAGUAAGAAUUUGAAAAAAAAAAAAACAGAAUUUAUUAUAGUAUUAAUAAGUUAAAAAUAGAUUCGUAUUCUUGAUAAUAAAUAAACCAAUAAUAAAUUUCUAUUUAUUAUAUAAUAUUAAUAAUUGUUUAAUAUAAUAAUGAAUAAAAUUUGUUAUUAGAGUUUUUCAAUAAUAAAUUUGUUAUAAUAUUAAAAUAAUUAUAUAUUACGAAGUUUAUUCUUUAUUAUUUAAUAAACAAUCUUAUUACUUUUUGAAUUCAUAAUUAUGAUUAAAUAUGAUUUGUUUGACAAUAUUUCCUAAACUUUUAGAAAAUUAAAAUAAGAAUCCUAUAAGGUGUUUGUUUCUAGAGGAAAAAAAAUCUUAAAUAAAAAAAUAAAAAAAUAAAAUAAAAAUCUAAAAUAAUAAGGAAACAUUUAUAUGGAGGAAUGUAGUUGUCAAUAAUCAUAAAUUAUUAUUAUUAUUAUUAUUAUUAUUAUUAUUAUUACUUUAUUAUUUUAUUAUUUUAUUAUUUGGGAAUUUUUUUUCUCUAGAAACAUUAUAAAGUAAGAAUUUGAAAAAAAAAUACAGAAUUUAUUAUAGUAUUAAUAAGUUAAAAAUAGAUUCGUAUUCUUGAUAAUAAAUAAACCAAUAAUAAAUUUCUAUUUAUUAUAUAAUAUUAAUAAUUGUUUAAUAUAAUAAUGAAUAAAAUUUGUUAUUAGAGUUUUUCAAUAAUAAAUUUGUUAUAAUAUUAAAAGAAUUAUAUAUUACGAAGUUUAUUCUUUAUUAUUUAAUAAACAAUCUUAUUACUUUUUGAAUUCGUAAUUAUGAUUAAAUAUGAUUUAUUUGACAAUAUUUCCUAAACUUUUAGAAAACUAAAAUAAGAAUCCUAUAAGGUGUUUGUUUCUAGAGGAAAAAAAAUCUUAAAUAAUAAAAUAAUAAAAUAAAAUAAAAAUCUAAAAUAAUAAGGAAACAUUUAUAUGGAGGAGUGUAGUUGUCAAUAAUCUUAAAUUAUUAUUAUUAUUAUUAUUAUUAUUAUUAUUACUUUAUUAUUUUAUUAUUUUAUUAUUUGGGAAUUUUUUUUCUCUAAAAACAUUAUAAAGUAAUAAUUUGAAAAAAAAACAGAAUUUAUUAUAGUAUUAAUAAGUUAAAAAUAGAUUUGUAUUCUUGAUAAUAAAUAAACCAAUAAUAAAUUUCUAUUUAUUAUAUAAUAUUAAUAAUUGUUUAAUAUAAUAAUGAACAAAAUUUGUUAUUAGAGUUUUUCAAUAAUAAAUUUGUUAUAAUAUUAAAAUAAUUAUAUAUUACGAAGUUUAUUCUUUAUUAUUUAAUAAACAAUCUUAUUACUUCUUGAAUUGGUAAUUAUGAUUAAAUAUGAUUUGUUUGACAAUAUUUCCUAAACUUUUAGAAAACUAAAAUAAGAAUCCUAUAAGGUGUUUGUUUCUAGAGGAAAAAAAAUCUUAAAUAAUAAAAUAAUAAAAUAAAAUAAAAAUCUAAAAUAAUAAGGAAACAUUUAUAUGGAGGAGUGUAGUUGUCAAUAAUCUUAAAUUAUUAUUAUUAUUAUUAUUAUUAUUAUUAUAUUAUUAUAUAUUACUUUAUAUUUUAUAUUUAUAUUGGGAAUUUUUUUUUCUCUAAAACAUUAUAAGUAAUAAUUUGAAAAAAANNNNNNNNNNNNNNNNNNNNNNNNNNNNNNNNNNNNNNNNNNNNNNNNNNNNNNNNNNNNNNNNNNNNNNNNNNNNNNNNNNNNNNNNNNNNNNNNNNNNACUUGUCAUGUCAUCCUAAUCCAUUGACAAUUAGAAUCCUUUGUAUAAAUAUUUCCAUUCUUUUUAGAUAUUUUAUUAUUAUUAUUACUUUAUUAUUUUAUUAUUUUAUUAUUUGAGAAUUUUUGUUCUCUAGAAACAUUAUAAAGUAAGAAUUUGAAAAAAAAAAAAACAGAAUUUAUUAUAGUAUUAAUAAGUUAAAAAUAGAUUCGUAUUCUUGAUAAUAAAUAAACCAAUAAUAAAUUUCUAUUUAUUAUAUAAUAUUAAUAAUUGUUUAAUAUAAUAAUGAAUAAAAUUUGUUAUUAGAGUUUUUCAAUAAUAAAUUUGUUAUAAUAUUAAAAUAAUUAUAUAUUACGAAGUUUAUUCUUUAUUAUUUAAUAAACAAUCUUAUUACUUUUUGAAUUCAUAAUUAUGAUUAAAUAUGAUUUGUUUGACAAUAUUUCCUAAACUUUUAGAAAACUAAAAUAAGAAUCCUAUAAGGUGUUUGUUUCUAGAGGAAAAAAAAUCUUAAAUAAAAAAAUAAUAAAAUAAAAUAAAAAUCUAAAAUAAUAAGGAAACAUUUAUAUGGAGGAGUGUAGUUGUCAAUAAUCUUAAAUUAUUAUUAUUAUUAUUAUUAGUAUUAUUAUUAUUACUUUAUUAUUUUAUUAUUUUAUUAUUUGGGAAUUUUUUUUCUCUAGAAACAUUAUAAAGUAAGAAUUUGAAAAAAAAAAUACAGAAUUUAUUAUAGUAUUAAUAAGUUAAAAAUAGAUUCGUAUUCUUGAUAAUAAAUAAACCAAUAAUAAAUUUCUAUUUAUUAUAUAAUAUUAAUAAUUGUUUAAUAUAAUAAUGAAUAAAAUUUGUUAUUAGAGUUUUUCAAUAAUAAAUUUGUUAUAAUAUUAAAAGAAUUAUAUAUUACGAAGUUUAUUCUUUAUUAUUUAAUAAACAAUCUUAUUACUUUUUUAAUUCGUAAUUAUGAUUAAAUAUGAUUUAUUUGACAAUAUUUCCUAAACUUUUAGAAAACUAAAAUAAGAAUCCUAUAAGGUGUUUGUUUCUAGAGGAAAAAAAAUCUUAAAUAAUAAAAUAAUAAAAUAAAAUAAAAAUCUAAAAUAAUAAGGAAACAUUUAUAUGGAGGAGUGUAGUUGUCAAUAAUCUUAAAUUAUUAUUAUUAUUAUUAUUAUUAUUAUUACUUUAUUAUUUUAUUAUUUUAUUAUUUGGGAAUUUUUUUUCUCUAGAAACAUUAUAAAGUAAUAAUUUGAAAAAAAAAACAGAAUUUAUUAUAGUAUUAAUAAGUUAAAAAUAGAUUCGUAUUCUUGAUAAUAAAUAAACCAAUAAUAAAUUUCUAUUUAUUAUAUAAUAUUAAUAAUUGUUUAAUAUAAUAAUGAAUAAAAUUUGUUAUUAGAGUUUUUCAAUAAUAAAUUUGUUAUAAUAUUAAAAGAAUUAUAUAUUACGAGUUUAUUCUUUAUUAUUUAAUAAACAAUCUUAUUACUUUUUGAAUUUGUAAUUAUGAUUAAAUAUGAUUUGUUUGACAAUAUUUCCUAAACUUUUAGAAAACUAAAAUAAGAAUCCUAUAAGGUGUUUUUUUCUAGAGGAAAAAAAAUCUUAAAUAAUAAAAUAAUAAUAAAAAAAAUCUAAAAUAAUAAGGAAACAUUUAUAUGGAGGAGUGUAGUUGUCAAUAAUCUUAAAUUAUUAUUAUUAUUAUUAUUAUUAUUAUUAUUAUUAUUACUUUAUUAUUUUAUUAUUUUAUUAUUUGGGAAUUUUUUUUCUCUAAAAACAUUAUAAAGUAAUAAUUUGAAAAAAAAAAACAGAAUUUAUUAUAGUAUUAAUAAGUUAAAAAUAGAUUUGUAUUCUUGAUAAUAAAUAAACCAAUAAUAAAUUUCUAUUUAUUAUAUAAUAUUAAUAAUUGUUUAAUAUAAUAAUGAAUAAAAUUUGUUAUUAGAGUUUUUCAAUAAUAAAUUUGUUAUAAUAUUAAAAUAAUUAUAUAUUACGAAGUUUAUUCUUUAUUAUUUAAUAAACAAUCUUAUUACUUCUUGAAUUGGUAAUUAUGAUUAAAUAUGAUUUGUUUGACAAUAUUUCCUAAACUUUUAGAAAACUAAAAUAAGAAUCCUAUAAGGUGUUUUUUUCUAGAGGAAAAAAAAUCUUAAAUAAUAAAAUAAUAAUAAAAAAAAUCUAAAAUAAUAAGGAAACAUUUAUAUGGAGGAGUGUAGUUCUCAAUUGAUUUGAAUAACAUAAAAAAUAAAAUGACAUUUUUUGGAAUAAUUGGAUAACUCAUUGCAUGUAUUUCAAAUUAUAUUUAAAUAGAUGAAGAUAAUACUAAUUUAAAAUAUUUGGGAUUCUUUUUACCAUAUAUUUUCUUAUUAGUGAAUCAAAUCCGACUUUUCCCUAAACUAUAUUGAUUUGGUUAGAUGAGUAUGUAACUUUGAGGCGUACCAUUUGUUUUUAUUGGCUGCCCCACUAAAAUGCACAUUGUCUAUUUUUUUUUCUUUUUUGCAAUGGGUAUCAUAGUGGGUGAGCCUAUAUAUAACAAUUUCACCCUUAUUGAUAACCAUAUUAUUGAAAGGCUAGAGGAAACCGAUCUCAAUGAUUAUCAUUUACAUGAUGUAACAAAAUGUUUCCCAUUUCUUUGUUAAUAUAUGUUAUAUUUGUGUAAUAAUUAUGAUGAAUGUAUAUAGGAACACUAUAUUCAUGUUCACAUGUCUUUAACAUUUGAUUAAUUUAUUAAUGAAUUAUGGUUGUUUAAUGCAGUGAUAAUAUGAACAUACGGUGUCGUUGUUCUGGCCGUAGAUUCCUCUCUGGAAUCCAUUUGCUCUCAGAAGUGAAGAAGGA